rnacentral:rRNA from 1 species
GAUGAACGCUGGCGGCGUGCCUAAUACAUGCAAGUCGAGCGAACGGACGAGAAGCUUGCUUCUCUGAUGUUAGCGGCGGACGGGUGAGUAACACGUGGAUAACCUACCUAUAAGACUGGGAUAACUUCGGGAAACCGUAGCUAAUACCGGAUAAUAUUUUGAACCGCAUGGUUCAAAAGUGAAAGACGGUCUUGCUGUCACUUAUAGAUGGAUCCGCGCUGCAUUAGCUAGUUGGUAAGGUAACGGCUUACCAAGGCAACGAUGCAUAGCCGACCCGAGAGGGUGAUCGGCCACACUGGAACUGAGACACGGUCCAGACUCCUACGGGAGGCAGCAGUAGGGAAUCUUCCGCAAUGGGCGAAAGCCUGACGGAGCAACGCCGCGUGAGUGAUGAAGGUCUUCGGAUCGUAAAACUCUGUUAUUAGGGAAGAACAUAUGUGUAAGUAACUGUGCACAUCUUGACGGUACCUAAUCAGAAAGCCACGACUAACUACGUG